UUUUUUUAAUUUUCAUUCCUCCAUAGUAUUCAAAUAGAUAUACCACAAUCAUUGGUUUGUUUUAUUGUUCCUGGUCACUGGGUGUUUUUCUAGCGUGAGUCAAAUAAAGCUGCUCUGAGCAUUAAUAACCAUGAAUUUGGAAACAUAUGCCUCCAUUUUUGUUGGAUACAUUCCUAUGAGUGGAGUUGCUCAGUAAUUAAGUUUAUUUGCAUACUAGGACUCACAAAAAGGAGGCUGCUCCAGCAGCCCAGCCCACAUCACAGAUUUAAACCUAAGUUGGCCACACUUAUUGUAAACACCUGUCAGAGAAACCCGACCUACACCAAACACAAUCCUCCAACUCAGCUCUAGCUUAUUUUACUAUGGAAAAUAGGACCUACGGGCAUCAUAUGGAAAUCACUCGCCUUCUUGCCCAUCAUGCCCUGCUUUGCAUUGCCUGCCUCUACUAAUGCUCUAUAAAAUUCACUCUUGCUCCAGAUCCCUUGGGAAGAAGGCUACUCUGCUUGUGAUCCCACUCCAUGAGUCAUUUUCCCUUGAAUGAAGGACAUCAAACUCAUAACUAAGUUUUUCACAAGACUUGACCCAAAGAAAGCUGCUAAAGUGUUUGAAGCUUCCGGGAACAGCCUCUAGACCCAGGGGAAGGUACCCCAGACUCCUUUUGGUUCACCACCUCUUGAGCCACUCUCCAGGGAUCUUGGUUUGAAGACAGAAAGUGAGCUGUCACACUCCACAGUACCAGCACCCUUCAUAUAUAUUGGAAACCGUCUUGAGUGAUUAAUUUCAAGCACCUUGGAUCAGCGAGAUGCCACAAGGCAAUAUGAAUUAGCAACUGUGGCCUUAUUUAACACCACCUUCAACCAAGGACUUAACUGCCUCUUAAACAAGACCCCUGCCAAAUCUUCAUGUGGAUUCUACACAAAAGGAAGAAUCAGAUUCAAAAUAAGACAUUAACUGCGAAAUCCAAAAUGGCUGCGCUUACCCUAUUGAUAAAAACAGGUGAGUCUCCAAAAGAUAUAAUCAAUCUUCACAUUUAUUUUAAGUAGUAAAUAAUAUAAAUAAGUAUUGUUAUUCUGAGUGGCAAUUUAAUGCAUGUAUUCGAUUAACAAUUAUAACUUCUGUACAUCCUAAAUGCUUAUGUAGCUUUGUACUUUUUUCUUUUUUUUUUUUUUUUUUUUUUUUGCGUGGGGUUAGUUCUCCAUUACAUAAAAAGAGAAUGAAUCAACAUUUUAUUGUGGAACCUGGGAAUCAAAUUUUAAGACUAGAAGGAGGAGAACUUCCUA
rnacentral:lncRNA from 1 species